UUAAGCCUCUCCUGUUGGCCUCGCUUCCUCCUGGAACGCAUCCGCGAGCCGAGGGUUUUUCUCUCUUGUCUCGCGCCGCGGCUAAGCUAAGCUACCUCUCGACGCCGCGCGAUCCUGUUGAUUCCCCGGUUUCCUCCGCGAUUUGAGUCAGAUGGGGGAUGGGGCAGAGACUGGCGGCGGUGAUGGCGCGAGGACCACGGCGGCGAGGGCGGGGGCGCCUCGGAGGGAUAUACGUCGGUACAAGUGCGAGUUCUGCGGCGUGGUUCGGUCCAAGAAGAGUUUGAUCCGCGCCCAUGUCCUCCAGAACCAUAAGGAUGAAGUGAAUGGUCUGGAGGAUUACCAAGAAGGAGGAGAUGGUGCUUCGCGCAAGGAGGUCAGCCAUGAUUGCAAAGAGUGUGGCAUGAGGUUCAAGAAGCCGGCCCAUCUGAAGCAGCAUAUGCAGAGCCAUUCACUCGAGAGACCCUUUGUUUGCCAUGUCGAUGGUUGUCCCUUAAGGUAUAGCAGGAAGGACCAUUUGAACAGACAUCUACUUACUCAUCAAGGGAAACUAUUUGUGUGCCCCAUCGAAGGAUGCGACCGUAAGUUCAAUAUCAAGGGUAAUAUGCAGAGACAUGUCCAGGAAAUCCAUAAAGAUGGUUCUCCUUGUGAAAGCAAGAAGGAAUUCAUUUGUCCGGAGGUUAACUGCGGGAAGACUUUCAAAUAUGCUUCCAAGUUAAAAAAGCAUGAAGAAUCACAUGUCAAGCUGGACUACACAGAGGUUAUCUGCUGCGAACCAGGCUGCAUGAAAACUUUUACAAAUGUAGAAUGCCUCAAAGCACAUAACCAAUCCUGCCAUCAACAUGUUCAAUGUGAUGUCUGUGGCACUAAACAACUAAAGCGGAAUUUUAAGCGCCAUCGCCAAAUGCAUGAAGGCUCCUGCAUUACUGAAAGGGUCAAGUGCUGCUUUGAGGACUGCAAAUGUUCAUUUUCAAAGAAAUCCAAUUUAGAGAAGCAUGUUAAGGCCUGUCCACGAGCAGCGCCGACCUUUCGUGUGCCAGUUCUCUGGGUGUGGCAAGAAGUUUUCUUACAAGCAUGUAAGGGACAUCCAUGAGAAGUCUAGUGCUCAUGUGCACACUGAGGGUGAUUUUGUUGAGGCGGAUGAACAGCGAUCGCAUUCAGCAGGUGGGCGAAAGAGAAAGCCUGUAUCUGUCGAAACUUUCAUGCGGAAGAGGGUAGCUGCUCCUGAUGAUGCACCUGCUCAUGUUGAUGGAACUGAGUAUCUGAGAUGGCUUCUCUCUGGUUGAUCCGUCCAGGACUCUGAAGGGAGAAGAGACGCAAUCACAAGAUGUGUUGGAUGUUCAAUUGAAAAUAUCUGUAAUUUACUUUGUAUGUAUAGGCAGAGGAAAGCAACAUGUUAGAUAUUUAUAUAGGAUUCAGACAUGGUGGGGAUUAUUAGAUCCUGGAUAUAAAUACAAUGUGCCAUACUAGAUUUUGAGGCGCAAGAGUAGCAGAUCGUUAUCAUUUUAUCAUGUAUAUUGAAAUGCUUCAAGCUUCAGCACAGCUUGGGAACAUGUUCGAUGCUAAUUCCUGUGA